UUCUAGAGCUCCCUCUUUGAAGCUACUUGGCAAAAAGUACAAAUAAGGAAGCUUAGAGCCCCAAUUCCAUGGUAGAUAUCAACACUAGCUCCGCUUUACAGGUGGGAAAACCGAGGCACAGGGAGGAAUAUCCAGCUGGCCAAACUGCAGAGCUAGGAUCUAGAUGUUGACCUGUCUGACUGUUCAUCACUAUGCCAUGAGGCCACACGUUCCUCUCCCCUAGCAGCUAUGUCCUCUAGGCCAUUCUUCCCGGAGACACCACAGCUGUCUUUCUUGUCUUUUCUUUCUGCACUACUGGGGAUGGAACCCAGGGCCCAUGUACUGAGCUCCAUCCCCAGCCCUUUUUUGUUUUUUAUUUUGAGACAGGGUCUUGCUAAGUCACUAAGUUGCCCAGGCUGGGUUUGAACUUGAGAUCCUCCUGUCUCAGCCUCCCUCCCAGAAUGCUGAGAUUACAAAUGUGCAUUAACAAACCCAGCACUACAGCCAUCUUUCAAUGUGUCACCCCCACCUUAGACCUUCUGGGGGCUCCCAGCGCCCUCUGUGAGAAUCCAAAUGCCAUACAGACAUGCUCACCAAUCCCGCCCUGCUGAGCCUGGCUCAAUCCUCACCCUCUCCAUGCCUGUCUCUGCCCCCACCAUCCUUCAGCUCCUGUUUCCGGCCUCCAGCCCUGUGUCCUGUUGGGUUUGGUGCCCAGGAUGCUCUUGCUCCCCUUUCUCACAGGGAAAACCUGCUCAGGCCUUUGCAGAAGUUCGCGUUCCUUGUUCUCGGUGGGUCCGCUAUGGGUUGGGUAUGGUGUGGGUGUGUCCCCUCAGGGUGCAUGUGCUGGAAGCUUCGUGGCCACUGUGGUGCUCUCAGGAAGUGGAGAGGCCUGUAAGAGGUUGCGUUCCUUAAUUGUGAUUUGUCAGUUUGACUAGCAGAUUAAUAAAACUCCGGGUCUGUCUGCGGAUGAUUGGUGGGAAGGCCAGCACACCGAGGAGAGAAGACUUCCCCUAGAUGUGUGGCACCAACCAAUAGGCUUGUAGAAGCACCAACCAAUAGGCUUGCAGUGUGGUCGGAAGAAAAGGGAAAGAAAGAACUCUUUCGGUUUUGAAAGAGCUCCAGCCUUCACCAUUGCUUUUGCAGAUCCAUCUCCAGUUUCUUUAACCUUCCAGCACAGACUCACCCUAGUAACUCUACAGUGAGCUUCCAGUGACACCAUCCACAAUGAGGUCUCUGCCAGGGCUGAGCCUCCAGCACUGUGACCUAAACCAACCUUCUUACUUUAUAAAGUGAUGCAGCCUCAGGUAUCUCAUUACGGUAAUGAAGAUCACACUAACACAACCCACUAGGAAGGGAACACAAAGGACCUGAUGCCUAAAACAGCACUGAGCACAUCAUAGAUGCUCAGUGAAUAUUUCUAUGGUUUUUCCAGCCAACCUGGAAGCAACACUGCUUUGAUUUGUGUUAAGAGGCAGAGCUGAGAUCAGGAGCCCAGGGCCGGGGGUGUGGUGAAGCCGGGGUUUGUACUGUGCCAAACUCCUGCCCACUCCUCCAGGACUCUCAAUACUGCACACAGCCUUCAAGGCUCAGAAUAAAACACCACCACCUGCAGAAAGCUUUCACAGACAGUCAGCCCCCCCCACCUCUGUAUCUUUACAGUUCUCUGUCCCUCCUCUCUUCUAAGAUUCAAAAGGAUCUGGGUUUUGAAGUCAGUUGAGUGCAGCUCUGCAGCUCACGGAUCCCAAAACCUGAUGAAGACUUGCUUCCCUCACUCCAUUAAUUACAGGCUCCAAACCCUGACCCCGGUUCUGCCUCCCAAGAAGCUGAAUGAAGAUGGCAGAGGGUGUUCACAGAGGUGUCCUGGGUCUACACGGAUACCCGACAACGUCAUAUCCACCCUGCCAGGCAAUCCAUCAGCCGUUCUCAGAAUACAGCAAGCUCAUUUCCACCCCAGGGCCUUCAGCGUGGGGGACAGAAGAGACACACCAAAAGCUGGAGCAGGACUGGCCUCUCCAGGCCAUGUAGUUCACACUAACCUCCUGCUAGGGUCUGGAUCUGGAACAGCCUUCAAAGGUCACGUGUUCAAUGCUUGGCGCUACUGGGGGGGGUGGAACCUUUAAGAGGCGGUCCUUGUGGGAGGGGAGAGGUCAUGGGGGCGUGGCCUCGAGGGUGAUGAACUCAGCCCCUCCCCUUUCGGUUUCUUUCAUAUCCCUGCUUUCAGGUGAGCAGCUGGCUCCGCAGUCAUCCGCCAUGACGUGCAAAAGUGAUGGGGCCACUCAAGAACUGGAAUUUAAAGUUGACACGAUUCCACCCGUUUCCCAGGAAUUUGCUGCCACUAUUUUUCUCUACCCCUUGAGGAUCCCAGAAAUGACAAGAAGAGAAAGAGCACUUGAAGAGGCUGGCCGGGUGCACCUUGGCUGUUCUGAUAAUGACAGCAGGGAUGGGCGGGAAGGCUCCUGGACACCUCGAGAUCCCAGGGUGUGGAAACGGCGGGGACCAAGAGGUGGCUCUGAGAUCCAGCAAGAAACACAGGCGGAGAAACUUCCACCAGACACAGGGACAGGUGGACCCGCGGCCAGGCAGACAAACCUCCCUCCGCCUUUUCCUGCCUGGCCAGCCUCCCUGUCCCCUGGGUACCACCCGCCACCCACAGCAGCAGCAGCAGCAGCAGCAGCAGCAGCAGCAGCAGCAGCAGCAGCAGCAGCAGCAGCGCCUUUGCCUGAGGCCUGAUCCCCCACGACCGGCGCCCUCCCUCCUGAGCCCUCCCCAGCAAGGCCGCAAUCAUCUCCCUUGUUCAAAAUGAGCUCCUGCAGCUGCAGCCAGGCAGCUGCACCAUCUCGGAGCCUGUACUGGCCUGGUGGCUGGGUCCUAGAGGGACGCCUGCCUCCCUCUCCAGGGUGGUGGUGGCAGUGAGGGACCCAGGGUGCCCAUCUCCACCUCCAGCUCCCACUCCAUGCGGCCCAAGGGGUCCAGACUUGGGAUCUGCUCUGGGGAGAAUCUGAGAGAGACAGUAGUGAGAGAGACAGAUACUCAGAGACAGAAACGAAAGGGAAGCAGGGCUGAAGACAGGGACCCCAGAAUAAAACGGAUUGAGGGACACAGCAAGAGGAGGACGAUGUCAGAACACAGAGAGAUAAUCACCAGUUGUCAGUCAACAAACAUUUAUGGACUGUCUACUGCGUACUGUGGCUAUACAGUUAAGACAUACAGAGAGAAACAGAGCGUUCAUACCAGAGAAACGGGUGUGGUGAUGCCUGCCUGUAUUCCCAGUUACUUGGGGGGUGGAGGCAGGAGGAGCCCAAGUUCGAUUACAGCCCGGGUAACUUAGGGUUCAGUCCUCAGUACCGGGAGAGGGGGUUUUCUAACAAUUGAAUCUCUUGAAAAACUAAACAGCCUCACCUUCCUGUCCCGCUCCAAGCCUUCCAUCCGACACUCGGAUAAGAUCCAAGCAGUUUAGGGCGAAUUUGUGUCCUUGGACUUGAUGACCACUAGGGAUGACUUCUGCCCUCUCCCAGAAAACCUCAACUACUUGCAGUUUUCCCGGUGCCCACCAGGAUGCUCCCACCCUUCCCCUCGAGACUGCAUCCUCACUGUCCGUCUCUCUGGAGGGUCCUCCCUCUCCUUCCACCCGGCCAAUUCCUCCUCGGCUUUAAGCCUUAGUUUAGGGGAUGGGGUGCAGCCCAGCGGUGGAGUGCACGUCCAGCACGUGCGAGGCCCUGGAUUCCAUCUCUACCAGCAGGAGUGAAAAAAACGAAAGCCUCAAUUUAGGCAUUGGCACCCCUGAGAGGCCUCAUCACACGUGCCGCAGCCCCCACAACAUCCCAUAAAUAUCCCUGUCGCCACACACACCGCGCCACGUCACAAGUGCCGUGCGUGAGGCUGAGGACCCUGGGAACUUCACUCAUCCUUCCUUCCAUCUUGCUGGGGAUGGACUCAGGGCCUCCCACGUGCAAGGCGAGCCCUCAUCCCACCCUCCUCUUUAUAUCUUUUAUUUUAUUUGCUUAUGUUUGGAUUUUUGAGACAGAGUCUCACUGUGUAGCCCAGGCCGGCCUCGAACUCACUGUGAUCCUCCUGCCUCAGCCUCCCGAGUGCACAGUAGGGGCUCAGGCCACAUUCCUCACACACCUGUGUGUGUGCACACGAGCGAGCACCCCACUCAGGGAGCCAGCGAACACAGCAGUCUGCCCACUCCUGUCCACCUCCUUGGCCUUGGUCCUGCCCGGCUUCCAUCACCCAGACAGGUGCUGCUGCCUCCACCCUGCUUGCCUGGAUCCUCUCCUUGUGCCUCCUGUCUGCCCUCCCCAGGGGUCCCAGAAGGAAACUGAAUCCCAAGUCGCGCUGUCCCUCCCCCACUCACGCCUUUCCACAGCAUCCCACUCAGUCACCUAUGCAGUUGUUUACCAAGUAGCUGUUGAACAUCUGUUAUGUUCUAGGUCCUACACUAGGCACUGGAGGGAAGCAGUCAACCAGACUAGCCGGGCACUGUGGCUCAUGCCUAUAAUCCCAGCUAUUCGGUGGGCUGAGGCAGGAGGAGGAUCAUAAGUUGGAGGUCUUAGUGACUGGGUGACUUAGUGCGGGGUGACUUAGCAAGACUAGCAAGACCAUGUCUCAAAUUUAUUCUUUU